rnacentral:rRNA from 1 species
GACGGGGGGUCCAAGCGUUGUUCGGAAUCAUUGGGCGUAAAGCGUGCGUAGGCGGUUUGUUAAGUCUGUCGUGAAAGCCCUGGGCUCAACCUGGGAAUUGCGAUGGAUACUGGCAAGCUAGAGUACGGUAGAGGAUGGUGGAAUUCCCGGUGGAGCGGUGAAAUGCGUAGAGAUCGGGAAGAACGCCGGCGGCGAAAGCGACUCUCUGGUCGGAAUCUGACGCUGAGGCGCGAAAGCUAGGGGAGCAAACGGG